CAGUCGUACCGGCGGAUAAUCAGCCUUUUGGGUGUGAUUUUGUGGAGCGUGAGGAGUUUAACGCCUUCAUGCCUGCAUAUUCGUGCACUUUGGGUGUACUUGCCCGUAUGGUUGGUUAACAUCAAUUUUGGUGGUCAUAAAAUGACUGGAGGAAUGUAGCUUUGGUCUCGUAUCGAAGUGUUAUAGGACUCUGGGUAAUGUGACGA
rnacentral:rRNA from 1 species